rnacentral:rRNA from 1 species
GAAAGUAAGCAAGGGCAGACGGUGGAUGCCUUGGCUCUCGGAGGCGAUGAAGGACGUGAUAAGCUGCGAUAAGCUUGGGGUAGGUGCAAAUAACCUUUGAUCCCAAGAUUUCCGAAUGGGGCAACCCGGCUGGUAGAAGGCCAGUCAUUCCGUAAGGAAGGCGAACGUGGGGAACUGAAACAUCUAAGUACCCAUAGGAGAAGAAAACAAAAGUGAUUCCGCAAGUAGUGGCGAGCGAACGCGGAACAGCCCAAACCGAUGAUGUUUAGGCAUUGUCGGGGUAGUAGGACCACGUUGUGGCAAGAGAUUAAGGAAGUAGAACGUUUUGGAACAAACGGCCGUAGACGGUGAAAGCCCAGUAUACGACUCUUUAACGAAGCCUAGUGGAAUCCUGAGUAGCGCGGAGCACGAGAAAUUCUGUGUGAAUCAGCGGGGCCCAUCCCGUAAGGCUAAAUACUCCCGAGAGACCGAUAGCGAACCAGUACUGUGAAGGAAAGGUGAAAAGCACCUCGAACAGAGGAGUGAAAUAGUCCCUGAAACCGUCUGCCUACAAGCGGUCGGAGCAACGUAAGUUGUGACGGCGUGCCUUUUGCAUAAUGAACCUACGAGUUACUUUCUCCGGCAAGGUUAAGGGCUUCAGGCCCGGAGCCGAAGCGAAAGCGAGUCUUAAUAGGGCGUGAUAGUCGGAGUGAGUAGACGCGAAACCAAGUGAUCUACCCUUGGUCAGGAUGAAGGUUGGGUAACACCAACUGGAGGUCCGAAUGGGUAUACGUUGAAAAGUGUUCCAAUGAACUGAGGGUAGGGGUGAAAGGCUAAUCAAACUUGGAGAUAGCUCGUACUCCCCGAAAUGCAUUUAGGUGCAGCCUUGCGGGUUACUGAUGUGAGGUAGAGCGACUGAUAAGAUGCGAGGGCUUCACCGCCUAUCAAGUCCAGAUAAACUCCGAAUGCGUGCUAUAUAUUGAUAAGGAGUGAGGGCGCGGGUGCUAAGGUCCGCGUCCGAGAGGAGAAGAAUCCAGACCAUCAGCUAAGGUCCCCAAAUAACAGUUAAGUUGAACUAACGAAGUCGGACUGCAGAGACAGCUAGGAUGUUGGCUUGGAAGCAGCCAUUCAUUUAAAGAGUGCGUAACAGCUCACUAGUCGAGGAGUCCGGCGUGGAUAAUACUCGGGCAUAAACUGUUUACCGAAGCUAUGGAUGUAGAAAUACAUGGUAGGGGAGCAUUCCAACGGCGUCGAAGGUGAAGGAUGACCUUUGCUGGAGCUUUUGGAAACGCAAAUGUAGGUAUAAGUAACGAUAAAGGAGGUGAGAAACCUCCUCGCCGAAAGACUAAGGUUUCCUGAUCAACGUUAAUCGGAUCAGGGUAAGUCGGGACCUAAGGUUAAGCCGAACGGCGAUACCGAUGGAAGAAUGGUUUAAUAUUCCCAUACUACUUUAUGGAGCGAUGUGGAGACGGAGAAGUGAAAGUCCUGCCAUCUGACGGAAUAGGUGGUUGAAGAGUGUAGAUGUAGAUUCCUGUAGGCAAAUCCGCAGGGAGAGUCGACCUUGACAGUAUGCCGCGUGCUUGCACAAGGCAAAAUGGACGUAAUCAGGCUCCCAAGAAAAUCCGCUAAGCAUAUUCAUAAAGUACCCGUACCGUAAACGGACACACGUAGUUGGGUUGAAAAUACUGAGGCGCUCGAGUGAUUCACGGUUAAGGAACUAGGCAAAUUGACCCUGUAACUUCGGGAUAAAGGGUCCCUACUGAGAGGUAGGGCGCAGAGAAUAGGUCCAGGCAACUGUUUAACAAAAACACAUGGCUGUGCGAAAUAGAAAUAUGAAGUAUACAGCCUGACACCUGCCCGGUGCUGGAAGGUUAAGAGGAGAGCUCAUCGCAAGAGAAGGCUUGAAUUGAAGCCCCAGUAAACGGCGGCCGUAACUAUAACGGUCCUAAGGUAGCGAAAUUCCUUGUCGGGUAAGUUC